CCUACGGGGGGCAGCAGUGAGGAAUAUUGGUCAAUGGACGCAAGUCUGAACCAGCCAUGCCGCGUGCAGGAAGACGGCCCUAUGAGUUGUAAACUGCUUUUGUACGAGGGUAAACGCAGAUACGCGUAUCUGUCUGAAAGUAUCGUACGAAUAAGGAUCGGCUAACUCCGUGCCAGCAGCCGCGGUAAUACGGAGGAUUCAAGCGUUAUCCGGAUUUAUUGGGUUUAAAGGGUGCGUAGGCGGUUGGAUAAGUUAGAUGUGAAAUCCUGGGGCUCAACUUCGGAAUUGCCUCUGAUACUGGUCGGCUAGAGAGUAGUUGAGGUAGGCGGAAUGUAUGGUGUAGCGGUGAAAUGCUUAGAGAUCACACAGAACACCGAUUGCGAAGGCAGCUUACCGAGCUACUACUGACGCUGAGGCACGAAAGCGUGGGGAUCAAACAGGAUUAGAUACCCGUGUAGUC
rnacentral:rRNA from 1 species